rnacentral:rRNA from 1 species
UACGUAGGGGGCUAGCGUUGUCCGGAAUCAUUGGGCGUAAAGCGCGUGUAGGCGGUCCGGUAAGUCCGCUGUGAAAGUCGGGGGCUCAACCCUCGAAUGCCGGUGGAUACUGUCGGGCUAGAGUGCGGAAGAGGCGAGUGGAAUUCCUGGUGUAGCGGUGAAAUGCGUAGAUAUCGAGAGGAACACCUGCGGCGAAGGCGGGUUGCUGGGCUGACACUGACGCUGAGGCGCGAAAGCUAGGGGAGCGAACGGG